GGCACACCCCUUAGAUCCAUUUCCGCUUUCAUAGGAAAUGAUUGAGUCAUUGGUGUGCUAAAGCACGAUAACUCCAGUAUUAGUUAUCUAAUAUAAUGAAAUGCAUUCAUUUUAUGUUAUCUAAUUGUGGGGAACAA